rnacentral:rRNA from 1 species
AAACUGAAGAGUUUGAUCCUGGCUCAGAUUGAACGCUGGCGGCAUGCUUUACACAUGCAAGUCGAACGGCAGCACGGGGGCAACCCUGGUGGCGAGUGGCGAACGGGUGAGUAAUGCAUCGGAACGUAUCUUCGAGUGGGGGAUAACGCACCGAAAGGUGUGCUAAUACCGCAUAAUCUCUACGGAGAAAAGCAGGGGAUCGCAAGACCUUGCGCUCUUGGAGCGGCCGAUGCCUGAUUAGCUAGUUGGUGAGGUAAAGGCUUACCAAGGCGACGAUCAGUAGCUGGUCUGAGAGGACGACCAGCCACACUGGGACUGAGACACGGCCCAGACUCCUACGGGAGGCAGCAGUGGGGAAUUUUGGACAAUGGGGGAAACCCUGAUCCAGCCAUGCCGCGUGAGUGAAGAAGGCCUUCGGGUUGUAAAGCUCUUUCAGC